GACGAACGCUGGCGGCGUGCUUAACACAUGCAAGUCGAACGGAAAGGCCCUGCUUUUGUGGGUUGCUCGAGUGGCGAACGGGUGAGUAACACGUGAGUAACCUGCCCUUGACUUUGGGAUAACUUCAGGAAACUGGGGCUAAUACCGGAUAUGAGCUCCUGCUGCAUGGUGGGGGUUGGAAAGUUUCGGCGGUUGGGGAUGGACUCGCGGCUUAUCAGCUUGUUGGUGGGGUAGUGGCUUACCAAGGCUUUGACGGGUAGCCGGCCUGAGAGGGUGACCGGCCACAUUGGGACUGAGAUACGGCCCAGACUCCUACGGGAGGCAGCAGUGGGGAAUAUUGCACAAUGGGCGGAAGCCUGAUGCAGCAACGCCGCGUGCGGGAUGACGGCCUUCGGGUUGUAAACCGCUUUCGCCUGUGACGAAGCGUGAGUGACGGUAAUGGGUAAAGAAGCACCGGCUAACUACGUG
rnacentral:rRNA from 1 species